rnacentral:rRNA from 1 species
UACGUAGGGUGCAAGCGUUGUCCGGAAUUAUUGGGCGUAAAGAGCUCGUAGGCGGUUUGUCGCGUCUGCUGUGAAAACUCGGGCUUAACCCCGGGCCUGCAGUGGGUACGGGCAGACUAGAGUGCGGUAGGGGAGACUGGAAUUCCUGGUGUAGCGGUGAAAUGCGUAGAUAUCAGUCGGAACACCGGUGGCGAAGGCGGCUUCUUGGGCCCUACCUGACGCUGAGGCGCGAAAGCCAGGGGAGCGAACGGG